CAAGCUGUAGCUCUUCGAGUACUUUAUUUACAUUAAAGUGGGAUUUGUUAAUUCAAUUUAGUUUGA
rnacentral:tRNA from 1 species